AAUGAACGCUGGCGGCAGGCCUAACACAUGCAAGUCGAACGGAUCCUUCGGGAUUAGUGGCGGACGGGUGAGUAACGCGUGGGAACGUGCCCUUUGGUUCGGAGUAGCCUCGGGAAACUGGGAGUAAUACCGGAUAAGCCCUUCGGGGGAAAGAUUUAUCGCCAAAGUAUCGGCCCGCGUUGGAUUAGGUAGUUGGUGGGGUAAUGGCCUACCAAGCCGACGAUCCAUAGCUGGUUUGCGAGGAUGAUCAGCCACACUGGGACUGAGACACGGCCCAGACUCCUACGGGAGGCAGCAGUGGGGAAUCUUAGACAAUGGGGGAAACCCUGAUCUAGCCAUGCCGCGUGAUCGAUGAAGGCCUUAGGGUUGUAAAGAUCUUUCAGUUGGGAAGAUAAUGACGGUACCAACAGAAGAAGCCCCGGCUAACUCCGUGCCAGCCGCCGCCGUAAAAC
rnacentral:rRNA from 1 species